UUCGGUGGUUCAGCGCUGUGGUCACACCUGAUCUCAUUCCGAACUCAGAAGUUAAGCACAGUUGCGGCGAUGAUACUCUAUUUAUAGGGGAAAGUAGCUUGCCGCCGGAA
rnacentral:rRNA from 2 species